GAGUUUGAUCCUGGCUCAGAUUGAACGCUGGCGGCAGGUCUAACACAUGCAAGUCGAGCGGUAACAGAUCUAGCUUGCUAGAUGCUGUCGAGCGAGCGGCGGACGGGUGAGUAAUGCUUAGGAAUUUGCCCAGUUGAGGGGGAUAACUAUUGGAAACGAUAGCUAAUACCGCAUACGCUCCUUUCUGUGAAAAGAGGGGAGGAAAGAGGGGGACCUUCGGGCCUCUCGCGAUUGGAUAAGCCUAAGUGAGAUUAGCUAGUUGGUGAGGUAAUGGCUCACCAAGGCGACGAUCUCUAGCUGGUCUGAGAGGAUGAUCAGCCACACUGGAACUGAGACACGGUCCAGACUCCUACGGGAGGCAGCAGUGGGGAAUAUUGCACAAUGGGCGAAAGCCUGAUGCAGCCAUGCCGCGUGUAUGAAGAAGGCCUUCGGGUUGUAAAGUACUUUCAGCAGGGAGGAAAAGUAGCAGUUUAAUACGCUGUUGCCCUGACGUUAGCAACAGAAGAAGCACCGGCUAACUCCGUGCCAGCAGCCGCGGUAAUACGGAGGGUGCGAGCGUUAAUCGGAAUUACUGGGCGUAAAGCGCACGCAGGCGGUCUGUUAAGCAAGAUGUGAAAGCCCGGGGCUCAACCUCGGAACAGCAUUUUGAACUGGCAGACUAGAGUCUUGGAGAGGGGAGUAGAAUUUCAGGUGUAGCGGUGAAAUGCGUAGAGAUCUGAAGGAAUACCAGUGGCGAAGGCGGCCCCCUGGAUUGAUACUGACACUGAGGUGCGAAAGCGUGGGGAGCAAACAGGAUUAGAUACCCUGGUAGUCCACGCCGUGAUUAGAUACCCUGGUAGUCCACGCCGUAAACGAUGUCUACUUGGAGGUUGUGGCCUUGAGCCGUGGCUUUCGGAGCUAACGCGUUAAGUAGACCGCCUGGGGAGUACGGUCGCAAGAUUAAAACUCAAAUGAAUUGACGGGGGCCCGCACAAGCGGUGGAGCAUGUGGUUUAAUUCGAUGCAACGCGAAGAACCUUACCAACUCUUGACAUCCAGAGAAUUCGCUAGAGAUAGCUUAGUGCCUUCGGGAACUCCGAGACAGGUGCUGCAUGGCUGUCGUCAGCUCGUGUUGUGAAAUGUUGGGUUAAGUCCCGUAACGAGCGCAACCCUUAUCCUUAUUUGCCAGCACGUAAUGGUGGGAACUCUAGGGAGACUGCCGGUGAUAAACCGGGGGAAGGUGGGGACGAUGUCAACUCAUCAUGGCCCUUACGACCAGGGCUACACACGUGCUACAAUGGACGGUACACAGGGUUGCCAAGCCGCGAGGUGGAGCUAAUCCCAUAAAACCGUUCGUAGUCCGGAUUGGAGUCUGCAACUCGACUCCAUGAAGUCGGAAUCGCUAGUAAUCGUGAAUCAGAAUGUCACGGUGAAUACGUUCCCGGGCCUUGUACACACCGCCCGUCACACCAUGGGAGUGGAUUGCACCAGAAGUAGUUAGUCUAACCUUCGGGAGGACGAUUACCACGGUGUGGUUCAUGACUGGGGUGAAGUCGUAACAAGGUAGCCGUAGGGGAACCUGCGGCUGGAUCACCUCCUUU
rnacentral:rRNA from 1 species